UCACGAUUUGCGUUACAAAUAAAUACCAGCAAAGAACUACGGCGGGCGAAGACAGAAACACAUUGAAGAGAUCGCUCUAUCUGGCACCCCGCCCGCUGGAUCUUCACACAGGGAAAAACAAGCGCACCUCUUCAACUGACGUAACCCCCAGUCACCCCACAUCGUCGUCUCUCGCUCUCGAUGAGUCGGAACAGCAGCAACUAAUUUUCUUAAAAAACACAUCUGGUUCCUGGGGCAGGGAAGCGAGAUGGAUGAUCAUGUUCAAAAUAAACUGGUAGAAUGGGACCUGGGUGAUUUACUCUCUACAUUUGAAGACAGGCACAUCGCUUUGCUUCUGCUACCUGUGGUGACC